UACGAAGGGUGCUAGCGUUGUUCGGAAUCACUGGGCGUAAAGCGCGCGUAGGCGGCUUAUCAAGUCAGAGGUGAAAGCCUGGAGCUCAACUCCAGAAUUGCCUUUGAAACUGUUAAGCUGGAGUGUUGGAGGGGAUAGCGGAAUUGCUAAUGUAGAGGUGAAAUUCGUAGAUAUUAGCAGGAACACCGGUGGCGAAGGCGGCUAUCUGGACAACAACUGACGCUGAGGCGCGAAAGCGUGGGGAUCAAACAGG
rnacentral:rRNA from 1 species